UACGGGGGGAGCAAGCGUUGUUCGGAUUUACUGGGCGUAAAGGGCGCGUAGGCGGCCAGCACAAGUCAGUUGUGAAAUCUCCGAGCUUAACUCGGAAAGGUCAACUGAUACUGUGCGGCUAGAGUGCGGAAGGGGCAACUGGAAUUCUUGGUGUAGCGGUGAAAUGCGUAGUUAUCAAGAGGAACACCUGCGGCGAAGGCGGGUUGCUGGGCCGACACUGACGCUGAGGCGCGAAAGCGUGGGGAGCAAACAGG
rnacentral:rRNA from 1 species